rnacentral:rRNA from 1 species
CUGGCGGCGUGCUUAACACAUGCAAGUCGAACGGGGCGAUAGAAAGCUUGCUUUUUAAAGCCUAGUGGCAAACGGGUGAGUAACGCGUGGGCAACCUGCCGGAAAGAUGGGGACAACAUCCCGAAAGGGGUGCUAAUACCGAAUGUUGUACGAGAGGCGCAUGCUUCUUGUACUAAAGGAAUCAAUCCGCUUUCCGAUGGGCCCGCGUCCGAUUAGCUAGUUGGUGAGAUAGAGGCCCACCAAGGCGACGAUCGGUAGCCGGCCUGAGAGGGUGAACGGCCACAUUGGGACUGAGACACGGCCCAGACUCC